GUGCCAGCCGCCGCGGUAAUACGGAGGGGGUUAGCGUUGUUCGGAAUUACUGGGCGUAAAGCGCGCGUAGGCAGACAUUUAAGUCAGGGGUGAAAUCCCGGGGCUCAACCCCGGAACUGCCCUUGAUACUGGGUGUCUUGAGUUCGAGAGAGGUGAGUGGAAUUCCGAGUGUAGAGGUGAAAUUCGUAGAUAUUCGGAGGAACACCAGUGGCGAAGGCGGCUCACUGGCUCGAUACUGACGCUCAGGCACGAAAGCGCGGGGAGCAAACAGGAUUAGAUACCCGAGUAGUCC
rnacentral:rRNA from 1 species